GAUGAACGCUGGCGGCGUGCCUAAUACAUGCAAGUCGAGCGAACGGACGAGAAGCUUGCUUCUCUGAUGUUAGCGGCGGACGGGUGAGUAACACGUGGAUAACCUACCUAUAAGACUGGGAUAACUUCGUGAAACCGGAGCUAAUACCGGAUAAUAUUUUGAACCGCAUGGUUCAAAAGUAAAAGACGGUCUUGCUGUCACUUAUAGAUGGAUCCGCGCUGCAUUAGCUAGUUGGUAAGGUAACGGCUUACCAAGGCAUCGAUGCAUAGCCGACCUGAGAGGGUGAUCGGCCACACUGGAACUGAGACACGGUCCAGACUCCUACGGGAGGCAGCAGUAGGGAAUCUUCCGCAAUGGGCGAAAGCCUGACGGAGCAACGCCGCGUGAGUGAUGAAGGUCUUCGGAUCGUAAAACUCUGUUAUUAGGGAAGAACAUAUGUGUAAGUAACUGUGCACAUCUUGACGGUACCUAAUCAGAAAGCCACGGCUAACUACGUG
rnacentral:rRNA from 1 species